rnacentral:rRNA from 1 species
AUUCCAGCUCCAAUAGCGUAUAUUUAAGUUGUUGCAGUUAAAAAGCUCGUAGUUGGAUUUCGGUUAAGAGCGACCGGUCCGCCGUUUGGUGUGCACUGGUUGGUUUUAACUUCCUGUAGAGGACGUGCUCUGGGCUUAACGGUCUGGACUCGGAGUCUACGUGGUUACUUCGAAAAAAUUAGAGUGUUCAAAGCAGGCGUCGGCUUGAAUACAUUUGCAUGGAAUAAUGGAAUAGGACUUUGGUUCUAUUUUGUUGGUUCCUAGGACCGAAGUAAUGAUUAAUAGGGACAGUUGGGGGCAUUAGUAUUUAAUUGUCAGAGGUGAAAUUCUUGGAUUUAUGAAAGACUAACUACUGCGAAAGCAUUUGCCAAGGAUGUUUUCAUCG